UUUCCGUAGGUGAACCUGCGGAAGGAUCAUUAUUGUACAACCGAGGUGCGAGGGCUGUCGCUAACCUUUCACAGGUCGUGCACGCCCAAGCACUUUCACGUAUCCAUAUCACCCCUUUGUGCAUCACCGCGUGGGCCCCCCUUUGCAGGAGGGCUUGCGUUUUCACAUAAAAUUUAAUAUUGUGUAGAAUGCCUUUUCAUUAUUUUUGCUGUCAUACGCAAUCAAUACAACUUUCAACAACGGAUCUCUUGGCUCUC
rnacentral:misc_RNA from 1 species